AGAGUUUGAUCAUGGCUCAGGAUGAACGCUGGCGGCGUGCUUAACACAUGCAAGUCGAACGAAGCACUUUAACGGAUUUCCUUCGGGGAUGAAGAUUUUGUGACUGAGUGGCGGACGGGUGAGUAACGCGUGGGCAACCUGCCUCAUACAGGGGGAUAACAGUUGGAAACGACUGCUAAUACCGCAUAAGCGCACGGGACCGCAUGAUCCUGUGUGAAAAACUCCGGUGGUAUGAGAUGGGCCCGCGUCUGAUUAGCUGGUUGGCAGGGCAGCGGCCUACCAAGGCGACGAUCAGUAGCCGACCUGAGAGGGUGACCGGCCACAUUGGGACUGAGACACGGCCCAAACUCCUACGGGAGGCAGCAGUGGGGAAUAUUGCACAAUGGGGGAAACCCUGAUGCAGCGACGCCGCGUGAGCGAAGAAGUAUUUCGGUAUGUAAAGCUCUAUCAGCAGGGAAGAAAUGACGGUACCUGACUAAGAAGCACCGGCUAAAUACGUGCCAGCAGCCGCGGUAAUACGUAUGGUGCAAGCGUUAUCCGGAUUUACUGGGUGUAAAGGGAGCGCAGGCGGAAGGCUAAGUCUGAUGUGAAAGCCCGGGGCUCAACCCCGGUACUGCAUUGGAAACUGGUCAUCUAGAGUGUCGGAGGGGUAAGUGGAAUUCCUAGUGUAGCGGUGAAAUGCGUAGAUAUUAGGAGGAACACCAGUGGCGAAGGCGGCUUACUGGACGAUGACUGACGCUGAGGCUCGAAAGCGUGGGGAGCAAACAGGAUUAGAUACCCUGGUAGUCCACGCCGUAAAC
rnacentral:rRNA from 1 species